rnacentral:rRNA from 1 species
CUACGGGUUGCACCAGUGAGGAAUUUUGCGCAAUGGGCGAAAGCCUGACGCAGCAACGCCGCGUGAGUGAUGAAGGCCUUCGGGUCGUAAAGCUCUGUCAAGUGGGAAGAACCUAUGUAAUGUUAAUAUCAUUAUAUACUGACGGUACCACUGAAGGAAGCACCGGCUAGCUCCGUGCCAGCAGCCGCGGUAAUACGGGGGGUGCAAGCGUUAUUCGGAAUCAUUGGGCGUAAAGGGCACGUAGGCGGCCUGGUAAGUCAGAUGUGAAAGCCCGGGGCUUAACCCCGGAAGUGCAUUUGAUACUGUCAGGCUUGAGUAUGGGAGAGGGAAGUGGAAUUCCUGGUGUAGAGGUGAAAUUCGUAGAUAUCAGGAGGAACACCGGUGGCGAAGGCGACUUCCUGGACCAAUACUGACGCUGAGGUGCGAAGGCGUGGGUAGCAAACAGGAUUAGAUACCCGGGUAGUC